GACAGAGGGUGCAAACGUGUUCGGAAUUACUGGGCGUAAAGCGCGUGUAGGCGGCUAAGUAAGUCGGGCGUGAAAUCCCACGGCUCAACCGUGGAAGUGCACCGUACGAACUCGCUAGCUAGAGUCCUGGAGAGGAAGGUGGAAUGCUUGGUGUAGAGGUGAAAUUCGUAGAUAUCAAGCGGAACACCGGUGGCGAAGGCGGCCUUCUGGACAGUGACUGACGCUGAGACGCGAAAGCGUGGGGAGCAAACAGGG
rnacentral:rRNA from 1 species